AGUGAACGCUGGCGGUAGGCCUAACACAUGCAAGUCGAACGGCAGCACAGUAAGAGCUUGCUCUUACGGGUGGCGAGUGGCGGACGGGUGAGGAAUACAUCGGAAUCUACUUUUUCGUGGGGGAUAACGUAGGGAAACUUACGCUAAUACCGCAUACGACCUACGGGUGAAAGCAGGGGAUCUUCGGACCUUGCGCGAUUGAAUUAGCCGAUGUCGGAUUAGCUAGUUGGCGGGGUAAAGGCCCACCAAGGCGACGAUCCGUAGCUGGUCUGAGAGGAUGAUCAGCCACACUGGAACUGAGACACGGUCCAGACUCCUACGGGAGGCAGCAGCGGGGAAUAUUGGACAAUGGGCGCAAGCCUGAUCCAGCCAUACCGCGUGGGUGAAGAAGGCCUUCGGGUUGUAAAGCCCUUUUGUUGGGAAAGAAAAGCAGCAGGUUAAUACCCCGCUGUUCUGACGGUACCCAAAGAAUAAGCACCGGCUAACUUCGUG
rnacentral:rRNA from 1 species